rnacentral:tRNA from 1 species
GCGGAAGUAGCUCAGUGGUAGAGCGCUAGCUUCCCAAGCUGGAUGUCGCGGGUUCGACCCCCGUCUUCCGCUCUA